UAGUCCACGCUGUAAACGAUAUCAACUAGCCGUUGGGGAUCUUAGUAUCUUUAGUGGCGCAGCUAACGCUUUAAGUUGACCGCCUGGGGAGUACGGUCGCAAGAUUAAAACUCAAAUGAAUUGACGGGGGCCCGCACAAGCGGUGGAGCAUGUGGUUUAAUUCGACGCAACGCGAAGAACCUUACCUGGUCUUGACAUCCUGCGAACUUUCUAGAGAUAGAUUGGUGCCUUCGGGAACGCAGUGACAGGUGCUGCAUGGUUGUCGUCAGCUCGUGCCGUGAGGUGUUGGGUUAAGUCCCGCAACGAGCGCAACCCUUAUUCUUAGUUGCCAGCACAUAAUGGUGGGGACUCUAGGAAGACUGCCGGCGUAAGCCGUGAGGAAGGUGGGGACGACGUCAAAUCAUCAUGGCCUUUAUGCCUAGGGCUACACACGUGCUACAAUGGUGCAUACAGCGGGUAGCGAAAUCGCGAGGUGGAGCUAAUCUUGUAAAGUGCAUCCC
rnacentral:rRNA from 1 species